CAGGGGGGCUACCGGCUAAGACGAAGCCGAUUCAGAUUGGAGCAAAUCGAACAUCGAUUUGAUUCUGUCGUACCGCGUAAGCAGCCAAGAUGGCGAUCCCCGAUUCGUGACGUCACAUGAAGUUCGGCAAGCCGAUUGAACGAAUGAUUUCAGUACUUUUGACACUAAAUCGCUACCGCGUAAAAAAUCGAAGUUCGGCGCCUGAAGCCGAUUCCCAUUGGAAGUGUCAGUUGAAGCCGGGCACUUUUCAGUAACCGUGAUCAAUUUUAAUUUCUUAUUUUCACUGUUUUUCAACAAUAUUAGGAGCUAUUUACGGUGGGCGACAAAUUUUAGGAACAUCUUAAUCAAUAUAAAAUUGAUAUCGGCGUGGAUUUUCGUGUUUAAAUACCUAAAUACAGUGUCAUGGAGAUAGUCGUUUUAUGGGCUGCUGCGGAAGAAAAUGUCUUCAGAAUCUUGAGCAAAUCGAUUGCAGGAUACUUCGAGAGAAAAGCCAGUAUAUACUUCUCACAGAGAGUAGCUACAUUAAUAAUUUUAGAUUAUCAAAAGAUGCAUUUCGGACUUUGUAUCAUGACUUAGGACCAUAUCUGGAGGUCCAAUGCUCUACAACUUUGCAAUCGACUUUAAGUGACAAAUGCCCUCAAUCAGCCUGCAAUCGUGAGAUAAUAUAUCAAGUUUCCUCGGACAAAAACUGAGCAUGUAGAAGUCUCCAGAGGUUUUAAUGACAAAUUUGGAUUUCUUGGAGUACUUGGAUGCAUCCACGGCACACACAUUG